rnacentral:pre_miRNA from 1 species
GACACGUAAACCCUUCGAAAGCUGCCAAUCAUUUCCGGUCUGGCUUACGACAUCAUUGUAUAUGAUUAUAUUGGAUUUAUAUUGCAAUACUUGGGAGAAUGAGGGCGCUGUUGUCGUCUUCAAGCAGGACAUGUAAAUCCUACAUAUGACGAUAUAAUCAUCUAUAGUGAUGUCGUAAAUCAGACCGGGAUCAAUUGACAGCUUUCAAAGGGUUUACUUGUC